GCCCUUAUAGCUCAGUGGUAGAGCGCAUCACUAGUAUGUAGUUAGAUGCUUAUGUAACAUCUUACAUAAUCAUGAUGAGGUCCUCUGUUCGAUCCAGGGUGAGGGCA
rnacentral:tRNA from 1 species